ensembl:lncRNA
UACAGUUUUGAGGGAUAAGCCUCUUAAAUUUCUCUAACUAGAAAUAUAUGUUAAAAAAAAACAAAAACGAUUUUCAAUUUUUUUGUAGUUUAUUGCACUUUUUUGCAAUUUAUGUAAUUACUAUGCACUUAAUGUAUGCAUAAUAUUAGAAUUUAGGCUGUAAUGGUUGUACUGAUGUAUAGCAACUUGAAAUGCUCCCAAAAAUGGCACUACAGCAUGUAAAAAUAUAAUAUAAGCUCUGGCGGACUUGGUUCUAUGGUAGGUCUUAAAGGGUUAAUGGCAACUCUUCAUUGAUUCUUCAUAAAGAAGCUUUAAAGCAGUCUUACUCCAUAACCAAAGAGCCAAACCAGGUGUUCCGAUUGCCCAUUCUAUUCAUCUAAAAGAGUCCUCUUACAAAAUGAAGAUACUACUUGAAUCAUUCGUGUAUAAAACCCAUGUUGCGGCCUUUUACUUUCCAAACAAAAAAGAAUCCGAGGAAAGGCCGUCGGUGGCAACGGGAGGUUUGUUUUGGAACGCACUUCUGACUCAUUGUUUAAAAAUCAUAUGCCGUUUAUUUCGUGAAAAGAAAAAAAAAAAUACAAACAGAAAUCAGCCAAAUAACUUCUUAAAACUUAAACUUAAAUGAAAGUUAACUUAAUUUGUUUUAACAAUUUCAAAAGUGGUCAAAAUCAUUUUUUAACCCUCCCGUCUCCCCAUCUGACAUUUGGCAAACAAAACAAAAAACCUCUUUACCACACCCAUCCCGGGUGCUCUUAAUCUCUUAAUUAAUGGGAGGGUCCAUAAACUAAUAAACCAAUCACUUUUCAAAUGCUUAUCCAAUAAAAUUAAUUACAAAUUAAGAUCAGUAAAUUCUUACACCUUCAAGGAAAAAACAAAAAAUGAAUACAAAUUGCAUUCUAAAAACAUUCAACAAAAAUGGCCACAACAUUCCGGCCCCUAAUUCCUGUGUAACAUGAAUUAAUUCUUUCUAAGUGGCCAUCACCAAAUGCAAUACCAAUAAUUUUCUUCAGCAGUCCAUCCGUAUAGGUCUUCUUAAAAAA